rnacentral:rRNA from 1 species
UACGGAGGGGGCUAGCGUUGUUCGGAAUUACUGGGCGUAAAGCGCGCGUAGGCGGCUUAGCAAGUUAGAGGUGAAAGCCCGAAGCUCAGCUUCGGAAUUGCCUUUAAAACUGCAAAGCUAGAAUCAUGGAGAGGUGAGUGGAAUUCCGAGUGUAGAGGUGAAAUUCGUAGAUAUUCGGAAGAACACCAGUGGCGAAGGCGACUCACUGGACAUGUAUUGACGCUGAGGUGCGAAAGCGUGGGGAGCAAACAGG